CACAAGCAUAGUGUAACAUAGUUCUUGGC
rnacentral:piRNA from 1 species